UACGAAGGGGGCUAGCGUUGUUCGGAAUUACUGGGCGUAAAGCGUGCGCAGGCGGUUAUGCAAGACAGAUGUGAAAUCCCCGGGCUCAACCUGGGAACUGCAUUUGUGACUGCAUAGCUAGAGUGCGGCAGAGGGAGAUGGAAUUCCGCGUGUAGCAGUGAAAUGCGUAGAUAUGCGGAGGAACACCGAUGGCGAAGGCAAUCUCCUGGGCCUGCACUGACGCUCAUGCACGAAAGCGUGGGGAGCAAACAGG
rnacentral:rRNA from 1 species